rnacentral:rRNA from 1 species
UACGGGGGGUGCAAACGUUGCUCGGAAUCAUUGGGCGUAAAGCGCACGUAGGCGGUCCCUCAAGUCGGGUGUGAAAGCCCUCGGCUUAACCGAGGAAGUGCAUUCGAAACUAGGGGACUUGAGUACUGGAGAGGAUGGCGGAAUUCCCGGUGUAGAGGUGAAAUUCGUAGAUAUCGGGAGGAACACCAGCGGCGAAGGCGGCCAUCUGGACAGAUACUGACGCUGAGGUGCGAAAGCGUGGGGAGCAAACAGG